UAUGAUGGAGUAUUAUUCGUUUCUAUAAAAAGCCAACACAUUUACUCAGCUUUGUGGUUUCUACAGAUACCGAACGUGUAGCUCAGAGAUGCCUGGUUCACUGGGGUAUGAGAAGAAAAAUGCUGAAACUUUUGCUGCAUGGGGAAUAGAUUACCUAAGUAUGACAACUGCAACAAUGGAGAUUUGAAACCCAUGGAGAGAGUGACUAAAAGUCUUGAAAAGAAC